CCGAAUGGUGGAAGGGCACCGGUGGCGGGAGGCCUCAUUAGGGAAAGCAUGCAUUGGUUUAAGAAUGGUUUUAGUUUAUGAACGGACUUCCAGAACGGAUUAAGUUUGUAAACUGAGGUACUACUGUACCAUGUCUUCGAAGACAUGGUAUCUUGAAUGCUGUUAUGAGUUUGUUGGUGCUAGACACCCUAAAUUCCUGGGUCCAGUUGGUGUUAGAAUUUAUCAAACAACAAAGCAAUGCAGAGAGAAAAAACUCAUAAAGCACAACUCUGUAAAUGGAAAAUAAUAGUAUUUUAAAUAUAUUGUACACAAAAUAUCACAAUAUAACAUGUAUUUAUAUUCCAAUUGCUAUGAACUUAAACUACACACAUGUGCGUGUGCGCACACACAUACACACAGAGUCUCUGCAGUCUCUGGUCAAUCUUGAAGUGAUCUAUACAAUCCUACAUAUUACUAUUCAAUGUCUCCACUUCUAAAAGUUCAACUAUAUUGCACUGAAGUCCAGAGCGUCGAUUCUCUGUGUUAAAUUUUCUAGUUGAAAACUGUGUAUGAGGAGGACUUUGACAACAAGACAUCCGGGUAAAAUCUCUGUUUCGUCGCCCUUCAUCAGGUCAGUCCAAGUACAUCAAAGUCUUCCUCAUGCACAGUUUUCUAACUGGGUGUUACAAUUUAAUCAAGCCUCCUGAACCCCUGGGUCCAGCAAGGAUUAAAAUUUAAGCCAGGCCAGUCUCCUGAUGAGGUAAUCCCCUGGGAGAUGAACCAUUAAGAAAACAAAAGGAUGGUAAUGACCAUUAAGAAAGCUAUGGGGAGUGGUUAUGUGCCAAAUGGCAAGUGGGUGGGGCCCCUCCUACAGCACUUUGAAGUUAGCUUUGAAGACAAAGCAGAGUUUGAAGUAGACUUUUAGGGCUGACUGUGAUGUGAUCCAGCGGGGGAGGUUGCACUCUGUUAAAGGCAGUAAGCUGGAGAGAGGGUCAGAGCACGAUGGCUGGUUUCUGCUUGAAUCCUAAGCUGCAGCUAUGGGACAAGCAAGACCCUCUUGGAGUGCUGAUGCUGCAAACCCCUCCAUUGCAGGCUCAGGUUGUAUAUAUGUGUAAAGAAACCAUAUACAGUGGUGCCCCGCAAGACGAACGCCUCGCAAAACGAAAAACUCGCAAGACGAAAGGUUUUUUCGUUUUCGAGUUGCUUCGCAAGACGAAUGUCCCUAUGGGCUUGCUUCGCAAGACGAAAACGUCUUGCAAGUUUGUUUCCUUUAUCGUAAAACCGUUAAAACCCAGGGUGCAUUGCUUGAAGAGGUGCAGUUGCGACUUGACCUCGAGGAGCAACACAUUGCACGCGGUGUGGUGGCCUUUCUGAGCUUUUUAAAGAGUUUGCUGGAUUUUUGAAGCUUUUCCAAAACUUCUUCUACAGCUGUUUGGUAAGUUGAACUUUUAAAACUUUUUUGGGUUUUUAGGAUUUUGGGUUGGGGUGUUUAGAAUUCAAGGACUUGGUGUUGGGGAGAGGUUUGCAAGAAUCUGGGAGCUUGUGUGGUUUUUUUCUGCAUUUUUAUGAUUUUCUGUGACCAUUGGGCCAUGUUUAUUUUUUUUUAAAAAAAAUCUGGCUUUGAAUUUUUGAAUUUCUGUGUGCUGGGUGGAUGGGGAACAGCUGGGGAGGUGUUUGCAAGAAUCUGGGAGCUUGUGUGCUUUUUUUUGAAUUUUUAUGAUUUUUUGUGACCAUUGGGCCAUGUUGUUUUUUUUGAAAAAGUUUCUGGGUUUUAAAUUUCUGUGUGCUGGGUGGAUGGGGAACAGCUGGGGAGGUGUUUGCAAGAAUCUGGGAGCUUGUGUGCUUUUUUUGAAUUUUUAUGAUUUUUGUGACCAUUGGGCCUUGUUGUUUUUUUUUGAAAAAUUUUUCUGGGUUUUAAAUUUCUGUGUGCUGGGUGGAUGGGGGACCAGCUGGGGAGGUGUUUGCAAGAAUCUGGGAGCUUGUGUGCUUUUUUUUGAAUUUUUAUGAUUUUAUGUGACCAUUGGGCCAUGUUGUUUUUUUUUGAAAAAGUUUCUGGGUUUUAAAUUUCUGUGUGCUGGGUGGAUGGGGGAACAGCUGGGGAGGUGUUUGCAAGAAUCUGGGAGCUUGUGUGCUUUUUUUUGAAUUUUUAUGAUUUUUUGUGACCAUUGGGCCAUGUUGUUUUUUUUGGAAAAAAGUUUCUGGGUUUUAAAUUUCUGUGUGCUGGGUGGCUGGGGGAACAGCUGGGGAGGGGUUUGCAAGAAUCUGGGAGCUUGUGUGCUUUUUUUUGAAUUUUUAUGUUUUGUGUUGACCAUGGGGCCAGGUUGUUUUUUUUUGAAAAAGUUGCGGGGUUUUGUAUUUCUGGGUGCUGGGUGGAUGUGGGAACAGCUGGGGAGGUGUUUGCAAGAAUCUGGGAGCUUGUGUGCUUUUUUUGAAUUUUUAUGGUUUUCUGUAACCAUUGGGCCAUGUUGUUUUUUUUUGAAAAAGUUUCUGGGUUUUGAAUUUCUGUGUGCUGGGUGGCUGGGGGAACAGCUGGGGAGGGGUUUGCAAGAAUCUGGGAGCUUGUGUGCUUUUUUUUGAAUUUUUAUGGUUUUCUGUAACCAUUGGGCCAUGUUGUUUUUUUUUGAAAAAGUUUCUGGGUUUUGAAUUUCUGUGUGCUGGGUGGCUGGGGGAACAGUUGAGGAGGGGUUUGCAACAGUUGGGGAGGGGUUUGCAACAGUUGGGGAGGGGCUGGGGGAACAGUUGAGGUUUUUGAAGACUUUGGUGAUUUUUAAAGCUUUCCCAAAAUUUCUUUUGCAGCCAUUUGAGGAUUUUGAAGACUUUGGUGAUUUGCAGCCAUUUCGUAAGUUAAACUUUUAAAACUUUUUUUGGGGUUUUUGGAUUUUGGGUUGGGUGUUUGGAAUUCAAGGACUUGGUUGUGGGUUUGAAUUGCUGAUUUUUUUUUUCUUUUUCUGAGUUUUACAAAGGUAACAGCUGUGCUGCCAUGGGACCCAAGAAGACUGCUGCUGCUGCGGAGGCCGGCGAGAGGAAGAAGGAGAAGGUGACGCUGGAGAUGAAGAAGGAGAUCAUCCGGAAGCACGACGCUGGAAUGCGUG
rnacentral:lncRNA from 1 species